rnacentral:rRNA from 1 species
GGAUUAGAAGCAGCUAUCAUUUAAAGAAAGCGUAAUAGCUCACUGGUCGAGUCGGCCUGCGCGGAAGAUGUAACGGGGCUAAACCAUGCACCGAAGCUGCGGCAGCGACGCUUAUGCGUUGUUGGGUAGGGGAGCGUUCUGUAAGCCUGUGAAGGUGUGCUGUGAGGUAUGCUGGAGGUAUCAGAAGUGCGAAUGCUGACAUAAGUACGGAUAAAGUGGGGGAAAAGCCCGCCCGCCGGAAGACCAAG